UUCUACAUUCUUGAAAUGCUGUUCUCAUGGGAGACAUUAAAUAAGCUUUGAAAUAACUGAAUGUACAGGGUGUACCAUGAACAAUUCUGACAUAUGAUUUAAUCUAUGUGUGACUACAUUUUAAAUACAUCUGGGAAGGAUUGAACAAUGAAGUGGAGCCCAUCAAUAUUGGUACUGAAAACGAGACAGCUCUGAAGUAAGCCCUUAAGUAAAGGUGCCAUCAAAUGAUUUCUCAGAAAUUAUAAAGAAACAAAAGGACCAUAAACAAGAUAAGGUGGCACGAGGAAACACUAAAAGUACCUUUCAGAGCUGACUGGCAAAGAAACUCCUGAGGUGAUGGUUCUACCCCAAUAUUACUUCUUCCAAGAGCAACCUAACUGGACUUAUCUUCCUCAGUUCCCUGUGGGGAACUUUUGUAGAGCCACACGAAAGGAGGUUUUUAGCUCUCACCUAUGGUCUUCAUCAUGCACCUCCUAGAUUCAAAAGUUCAGCAGGGGCAUGUCAAGCUAUAUAAAUAAAAACAAACUAAGACAAAAAUGUAACAUUCCAUACCUUAAAAUGCAACCUUAAUAACGUGAAAGACCCUGAAGGACUUGAGAUGUGAAGAUUUUCUACCACGGUCUUUGCAUGUAUUAUUUCUGACAGCUGUUCCUUUCUAUUC
rnacentral:antisense_RNA from 1 species